UGCCAGCCGCCGCAAAAAUAAGAGGGGUGCAAGCGUGAAUCGGAAUUACUGGGCGUAAAGCGUGCGUAGGUGGUUUGUUAAGCAAGAUGUGAAAGCCCCGGGCUCAACCUGGGAACUGCAUUUUGAACUGGCAGACUAGAGUAUUGUAGAGGGUAGUGGAAUUUCCAGUGUAGCGGUGAAAUGCGUAGAGAUUGGAAGGAAUAUCAGUGGCGAAGGCGGCUACCUGGACAAAUACUGACACUGAGGCACGAAAGCGUGGGGAGCAAACAGGAUUAGAUA
rnacentral:rRNA from 1 species